rnacentral:lncRNA from 7 species
CUCGGGAGCGAGGGGGGAGCUCUUCCCAAAGCCGCGUGGCCUGGGCGAGCCCCGCAGCUCCCACGCGCUGUGCCCGCGGCCCGGCUCUGAGCGGCGCUCCGGCGGUGCCCCGCGCUGAGGUACCACACACAGAGGUUGCACAGCCCGGCUGCUGGCUCUGCUCACUCCCUUGCCAGCUCCCUUGGGGCAGUAGGUGGGACGGUCUGGGCCCGGCCCUUCACUGCUGCUGCUUGGAUCUGAAUUUGAAUCACUCCUAAAAGCACUUUAGUUUCAGAGAUUCUCCUCUGAGCUCUCCGUAUGGGAGCAUUCCUGCAUGAACUCCGCCAGCCCUCUCGCAGUGAACACAGAUGUGAACAACUCGCUUGGUUCUGCCUGCUGGGACCUCAUCUCCAGGUCAGAUCUUCCCUCCGCUGUGCCAUGUCUGCAGACUCGGGCAGCCUCUGCUCCUGAUGGCUUUUAAAAAUCACUUGUGUUCAGUUCAUAAAGGAUUUCUUCAUCCUGUAGGAGCAUCACUCAGUGUUGUUUACUCACACCGCCUCCUUGUCCCCUCUCAAGCCUGUUGAUGGCAAACAAUGGAUGGCAAAUGAUUGCCCCCAGUGCAGUCACACACGGGUUCCACACCCCCCACAAGCACUCAGGGCUUUGAGCUGCCCCUUUUACCUUCACCAUUUUCAUUUAGAAGUCAUCAUCACAGGGCAAAAGCAUAUAAAGCUAUGUUUAUAUUGGGUGUGUUAAAAGGCUGAGGUAUCAGGUGAACACUGUGCCCUGCAGUACAUUACUUCAGACCUUGUGUUCCUUACACUAGCCACAGUUUUUAUCUGAACUGUGGGAUAGGUACCCCCACACCACCUGGAUGCAAAGGAAAAUACCUGGGGGGGAAGGAUAUUUCAUGGCGUGCUGACGUGUACACACCGCUGUGCUGUGGUUAUCAGCAGCUCAUGGCAGGAUCCUGCAGAGGUGGAUUUGGCUCUUCACAGCUGUGAGGAAGCCUUUCUCCAGGCUCUCCCAGGGUCCCGUGGGGUGCUCCCAGAACUGGCAACCACCAGAGCCAUUCACUCAUUCCUGGGACCUGAAGGAGACUAGCACAACCCACCAGCAGCAGCCCUGGGCACCCCAUGGGCUGCACAGGACACCAUGUGCAUCCAGCAGGGAACAGCCACGUGAUAGCAACACAGCCCGUGGCAAAGGCAAGGCAGCAGGACCGCAUGGGCCUGGGCCACUGCCUUCUGCUCCCAAACACUGCAGCCAUCAGACCCUCCAGCAAGCUGGCAGGCAUCACUGCUCAGAGACAUUGGGGUCCUCAGCCACUACUCUCCUCGGGCACACAGGGUUUGGAGUCACCAGCUGCACACUAAGAUGAGGAAAGUGGUCACAACUGUCCCCGCUCAGUGCUGCAGAAGUGUUUAAAUGCUCUAAGACUGCACUUUGCUAACGGUGAUGAGCAGUAGUACAAUGGAGAACUGGCACGAGUAACACCAGCCCUUUAGAAAGGCAAGGAGACAAUAUUUCCGCCUUUCUCAGAUUAUCACCUUGGGUAAAAAUACUCCUUACACUCCACUUUAUAUUAAAAAAACUUACAAUUCAUUU